CACCAAGACUUAAAAGCUCUUUUCGUGUUAUGAAUGAAAUUACAUUUUGAAAUAAGUUUGAUAGUUUUAUAAAAUUUCUUUACUUCUGUUUUCCAUUUAAACCCCUAUAAAGAAUAUGAAAGAUUACCUUUUUUAAAACCUUUAACUGUAAUCACUCUAUUUUGCUGCUACUUUAUAAUUGUAAAUAUUUGCUGUCUAUGUUCAGUACAUGUAGUUAGAACUCGAAGUAUCUACAAUGGAACCGCGAUCCAUUUUGCAAGCAGCACUGACCUCAUUUACCUUCAAGACUGACUUUGGCACAAGGAUAGUGAAGCAAAACCGGUUCCUUGCCCUCCUGCAAGGUGAAGAACACUUCCAGACUUAAAAGAUGACAAAUGAGGAGCACAAUGUGGAAAAGUUAGUAGCAGCUGCUGGGAACUUAAUAAUGAAGCCACAAUGUUUCCUUCACAUGGAAAAUGAAAACAAGGAGGACAGAAGUGGAGAAACACCAAGAGAUCAUGAAUUUAAGGGGCUUCCCUGCCUCCUGUCGUUCUGGACUUCCCACUGGUCCCAGCCCUCUCUGUGCCCUCCGCUCCUGCCCGCUCCAGCACCAGCGCUGCAUGUUGGAGCUCUCCCGGCCGCUGCUGCUGUUGCCACUGUUGUUGCUUUCUGUGUGACAGUGCCGCAGGGGCCACGUGGAACUGCUUUGCUGGCUCACGGAAGUGGACAGAGUGAUUUUCUGGGUGAUAUUCUUUAUAAUUGUGUGUUUGUUGUUUUAUUUUGGUUUUGCCCUUUUUCUUAGUAAAAUUUGUUACUUUGUUUAUACUCCUUCCUUUUAAGUCCCAUUAUUUUUAAUGGAUGGGAUGUAGGACCUCCCAUUGAAG